CGCUUAUCGGGAGAACGAAGAUGAGGAAGAACGAAUUACUCGUGGUAGAAAUGAAAUACUGAAGCUUCUCCGACAACAAAAUAAUGAAGUCUCCACACGAAAGAAAGGCUACGAUCCUGUACUCGUCCGGUUCUAUGAAGAAAGCGGAAUGACCGAGGCGAGGAAGGAUCACCCGUUGAUACAAGAAGCAGCCAAGGAGAGCGGGAAAACAGUUGACCAAGUCAUGAACUUCAUCGGUAACUACCGUAAGAGUAAAGGCGGCAGUAAGAGGAGACCGCCGCCAGACACGAUGGAGAGGAAGAGGAGGAUCACGGGAUAUCACGAGUACUACAGGGAACAGCUGCCAAGGA